rnacentral:rRNA from 1 species
UACGUAGGGGGCAAGCGUUGUCCGGAUUUAUUGGGCGUAAAGCGCUCGCAGGCGGCUCGAUGCGUCGUGCGUGAAACACCCCGGCUCAACUGGGGAGGGUCGUGCGAUACGGUCGGGCUGGAGGCCAGUAGGGGGAUGCGGAAUUCCGGGUGUAGCGGUGAAAUGCGUAGAUAUCGGGAGGAACAUCAGUGGCGAAGGCGGCCAUCUGGGACAACACUGACGCUGAGGCGCGAAAGCGUGGGGAGCAAACAGG